rnacentral:rRNA from 1 species
AGGGACAUUACCGAGUUUACAACUCCCAAACCCCUGUGAACAUACCUUAAUGUUGCCUCGGCGGAUCAGCCCGCGCCCCGUAAAACGGGACGGCCCGCCAGAGGACCCAAACUCUAAUGUUUCUUAUUGUAACUUCUGAGUAAAACAAACAAAUAAAUCAAAACUUUCAACAACGGAUCUCUUGGUUCUGGCAUCGAUGAAGAACGCAGCAAAAUGCGAUAAGUAAUGUGAAUUGCAGAAUUCAGUGAAUCAUCGAAUCUUUGAACGCACAUUGCGCCCGCUGGUAUUCCGGCGGGCAUGCCUGUUCGAGCGUCAUUUCAACCCUCAAGCCCCCGGGUUUGGUGUUGGGGAUCGGCUCUGCCUCACGGCGGUGCCGCCCCCGAAAUACAUUGGCGGUCUCGCUGCAGCCUCCAUUGCGUAGUAGCUAACACCUCGCAACUGGAACGCGGCGCGGCCAUGCCGUAAAACCCCAACUUCUGAAUGUUGACCUCGGAUCAGGUAGGAAUACCCGCUGAACUUAAGCAUAUCAAUAAGCGGAGGAAAAGAAACCAACAGGGAUUGCCCUAGUAACGGCGAGUGAAGCGGCAACAGCUCAAAUUUGAAAUCUGGCUCUCGGGCCCGAGUUGUAAUUUGUAGAGGAUACUUUUGAUGCGGUGCCUUCCGAGUUCCCUGGAACGGGACGCCAUAGAGGGUGAGAGCCCCGUCUGGUUGGAUGCCAAAUCUCUGUAAAGUUCCUUCGACGAGUCGAGUAGUUUGGGAAUGCUGCUCUAAAUGGGAGGUAUAUGUCUUCUAAAGCUAAAUAUUGGCCAGAGACCGAUAGCGCACAAGUAGAGUGAUCGAAAGAUGAAAAGCACUUUGAAAAGAGAGUUAAAAAGUACGUGAAAUUGUUGAAAGGGAAGCGUUUAUGACCAGACUUGGACUUGGUUAAUCAUCUGGGGUUCUCCCCAGUGCACUUUUCCAGUUCAGGCCAGCAUCAGUUUUCGCCGGGGGAUAAAGGCAGCGGGAAUGUGGCUCUCUUCGGGGAGUGUUAUAGCCCGUUGUGUAAUACCCUGGUGGGGACUGAGGUUCGCGCUUCUGCAAGG